UGGGUUGUGGCUCAGUGGUAGAGUGCUUGCCUUAGCACAUGUGAGACACUGAGUUUGAACCUCAGCAUCACAU
rnacentral:tRNA from 1 species